UUACUUCGUCCGCGCCGUUGCUCUGUUUUUUUUUAUGGCGCCUUGCAGUUUUACCCAACUUCGCCCUCCUCCUCCCAGCCCCCCCAGCUCACCGCCCUCGGCCCGCGUCUCCCGAUGCUUUCUCGGAGGCUGCGGGAUAUGGAGCCUGCCGCAAAGGAAACCGAUUUCUCCAUCUCGGCGUUGGAAGCGUGGUUCAUAAUGGCCGCAUGCGCAUUGAUAAUUCAGCGGCCCGCGCCUUUUGACCGAUGAAGACUGUAGUGAGGAAAGAGACCAGAAGAUAAAAGAAGACUCGGCAAAGGGCUCAGAAGGGUUACACGGGAGGUUCUUGAAGAGUCUGAGGAGACAGCCUGUCGGCUCUGCCUGUUAAACAAAGGGCCAUGGAUCCAGUGAAGCAGCCAUCAUUUAUGAUUUGGUCUACAGUUGUUGGGUAAGUGAAAAAUUCCAUAAGAGGAUCACCAUGGAAGCUAGCAGAAUUCUUGGCUAAUAUUUAUGCCCAAGCAGCCAUUGGAAUCAACAGCAAUCAGAUCUUUGCGUUAAAGGCCAGAAACCUCAUUUUGGAAAAGUGGAAUACUUUUUUUGUAACUUAAUUUUUUUAAUAAAAAAAAGCUUGUAAAGUG